rnacentral:rRNA from 1 species
ACUCAAAUGAAUAGACGGGGGCCCGCACAAGCGGUGGAGCAUGUUGUUUAAUACGUCACUAACCGUAGAACCUUACCAGGGCUUGACAUCUCCGGACCGUCCGUGAAAGCGGACUUUCCCCGCAAGGGGACCAGAAGACAGGUGUUGCAUGGCUGUCGUCAGCUCGUGUCGUGAGAUGUUGGGUUAAGUCCCGCAACGAGCGCAACCCUCACCCCAUGUUGCCAGCGGAUCGCGCCGGGAACUCUUGGGGAACUGCCUGGGCAACCGGGAGGAAGGUGGGGAUGACGUCAAGUCAGCAUGGCCCUUACGCCCUGGGCUACAAACAUGCUACAAUGGACGGCAGACAAAGGGACCCGAGCCCGCGAGGGGGAGGCAAUCUCAAAAAUCCGUCCCCAGUUCAGAUCGCAGGCUGCAACUCGCCUGCGUGAAGUCGGAAUCGCUAGUAACCGCCGAUCAGCGAAGCGGCGGUGAAUACGUUCCCGGGCCUUGCACACACCGCCCGU